rnacentral:lncRNA from 1 species
CUGAAAGCCUCACUCUAUGCCACCCUGACCUCACAAGCUUGGUCAGGCACACCUGUAGCCAGCCCCUAAGCAGGCGUGGCUACAGCUUCCCCUACAAGACUGUUCUACUGGUACACCCUAAAGAGCUAUCCAUUUCUGCCUCUUCAGAGCUGUGAUCACAAGCAUGAGCCAACAUGCCUAGUCUUAACGGGCUCAGGGACUGAGCCACAUGUAUCACAACUUAGGGAUACAGGUAUCAUCUAUCAAACACAGAACCUACAUCCAGUUACUGAUGGAAACAAAUGGAGUCACCCAGAGCUAAGCAAUGGGCUGAGUUCCUGAAAUUCAGUUGAAGAGAGGAAGGAAAGACCAUACAAACAAGGGCAGGGGUCAAGACCAACAUUGGAAAAACUACAGAGACUGCUGAUCUGAGUUAGUGGAGCUCAUGGACUAUGGACUGACAUGCAUGGGAACAUGCAUGGGACUGAACUAGACUCUCUGAAUGUCCCUUUUAGUUAUGUGACUUGAAAUGUUGGUGUCUGGAGGGGAGGGGAGCUUGGCAGUGGCACCAGGACCUAAGCCAUGGAAUGAAUUAGCUUUUUGGACUCUAUUCCCUAUGGUGGGAUACCUUGCUCAGCUAUGAUACAG